CGCCUUCUCCCCGCUUCCGCCCUGCGCGCUAACCCAAGACGGGAGCUCGAGAGCUUGAUCCUGCGCGAGUUUACAGACUGCCCUCUUCCCUUUUUGGAUCGAAGACCACGACUCCCAAGAGGUAAUGCGUCGGCCCGGGACUACAUCUCCCGGCAUGCAUCGCCGGCGGGUCCGCGAGUUCUCACCAUCGCAGCUGGACUAUUAGCGGGGGCCCUAGCGCUCUUGUGGUUUGUUUCGGCAGUAUCUGAAUGUCAGCUUUUGGCACUUCUGGUCGCUCUGAGCCUCCUACUCGCAUUCCUGGAGCAAGGUGCUUUCCAGGCCUCAUGGAGGUGGAGGAGCUGAGGAAGCUCGAGAAGAUGGAUAGAAGUGGGAAAUGGAGCUAGCGUACGGGAGAGGGAAAUGGCUGGAAUAUUCGUCAAUCUGUGGUGCUUUACUGGAGAUUUGCAGGAGUUCAGAGGAAGGGGGCAUUGAAUUUCAUAACCUAAACCGUAUCGUGGUUUACCAGAAAGUUUUGACCCGUGAUUCCGGUUUUAAAGGCUGAGUAGGGCCGGGCGCGGUGGUUCACGCCAGUAAUCCCAGCAGUUUAGGAGGCCAAGGCAGGCGGAUCACCUGAGGUCAGGGGUUGGAGAUAAACCUGGCCAACGUGGUGAAACCUCGUCUUUAGUAAAAAAUACAAAAAUUAGCCAGGUUUUGUGGCACAUGCCUGUAAUCCUAGCUACUCGAAAGGCUGAGGCAUGAGAAUCGCUUGAACUCAGGAGGAGGUUGCAGCCAACCGAGAUCUCGCCGCUGUACUCCAGCCUGGGCGACAGAGCGAGACUGUGUCAAAACAACACCACAAGCUAGCUGAGUAGGGAUUCUUGGGCGAAGUGGAAGACAUUAUAAGCAAAUAGGGUAGUAUGGGCAUGGAAACGAACUACAUGAUUAAAGAUUAGUAUUAUCUGGCGAGGGAGGAAAAGUGCCAGAGCAAGUGCCGAAACUGGAAGGUUACAUUUAGUUCAGGAUAUGAAGAUCAUAUAAGGCCUGCACGGUGGCUCACACCUGUAAUCCCAGCACUUUGGGAAGCCAAGGUGGGGGAGGAUCGCUUGAGCUCAGGAGUUGGAGACCAGCCUGGGCAACAUAGUGGGACCCCAUAUCUCAAAAAAAAAAAAAAAGGAAAAGUGUAAUGUUGGUUCGAGCUCAAGAAGGAAUCUGGAUUCCGGUAACUUUGCCCAGACCUUGGGAAUCCUCCCCUUCAAUACAUUUAAUUAAUGAAGUGUUACAGUGAAUUCUAAAAGUUUGCCAGACUAGUCAAAGAAUCCUGCGUCAAAAUCAAGAGAACGAACAAGCCUUCAUUGCCAUGGCACAUUUAUUAUAAAAAGAAAGGGAGAGAUGUUGCGGGAAGUCAGGGACCCCGGAGGGACCAGCUGAAGCCAUGGCAGAAGAACAUAAAUUGUGAAGAUUUCAUGGACAUUUAUUAGUUCCCCAAUCAAUACCCUUGUGAUUUCCUAUGCCUGUCUUUACUUUAAUCUCUUAAUCCCGUCAUCUUCGUAAACUGAGGAGGAUGUAUGUCGCCUCAGGACCCUGUGAUGAUUGUGUUAACUGCACAAAUUGUAGAGCAUUUGUGUUUGAACAAUAUGAAAUCUGGGCACCUUGAAAAAAGAACAGGAUAACAGUGAUGUUCACGGAACAAGAGAGAUAACCUUAAACUCUGACUGCC
rnacentral:lncRNA from 1 species